rnacentral:rRNA from 1 species
GCUCAGGAUGAACGCUGGCGGCGUGCUUAACACAUGCAAGUCGAACGGGAUCCAUCAGGCUUUGCUUGGUGGUGAGAGUGGCGAACGGGUGAGUAAUGCGUGACCGACCUGCCCCAUACACCGGAAUAGCUCCUGGAAACGGGUGGUAAUGCCGGAUGCUCCGACUCCUCGCAUGGGGUGUCGGGAAAGAUUUCAUCGGUAUGGGAUGGGGUCGCGUCCUAUCAGGUAGUCGGCGGGGUAACGGCCCACCGAGCCUACGACGGGUAGCCGGCCUGAGAGGGCGACCGGCCACAUUGGGACUGAGAUACGGCCCAGACUCCUACGGGAGGCAGCAGUA